AACGCACAUUGCGCCCGCCAGUAUUCUGGCGGGCAUGCCUGUCCGAGCGUCAUUUCAACCCUCGAACCCCUCCGGGGGGUCGGCGUUGGGGAUCGGGAACCCCUAAGACGGGAUCCCGGCCCCGAAAUACAGUGGCGGUCUCGCCGCAGCCUCUCCUGCGCAGUAGUUUGCACAACUCGCACCGGGAGCGCGGCGCGUCCACGUCCGUAAAACACCCAACUUCUGAAAUGUUGACCUCGGAUCAGGUAGGAAUACCCGCUGAACUUAA
rnacentral:misc_RNA from 2 species